AAGAAUAGGCGGAAGGGGGCAGCAGCUUCUCGCCAUCGUUGUGGUCAUCUCUAGCAGCCAUUUUGGGUGGUUCUGGUCUCAAAAUGACUAGUAGCCGGCGAGCUUUCUUCUUUGCCCAUCAUCUUCCCUAGAGGCUGCUGGAAUUGCAAGAUCUGGCAAGGUGAAAAGAGUAGGGGCAGCCGGGAUUUCGAGCUUUUUCGGUGAGCUCCGGCGAGAGAUGGAUGAUCGGAGGGCAUAUCCGGACUCUCAUCAGCUCAAGCUUUUCAAUGGCACCGGUUUCGUGGUGAUCGGACUCCAUUUGAAAAUCGACAGCCGAGAUGGUCCAUAAAUCUCUCCGGAUGAUCGGGGGUCGGAUCGGAAGAUUGGAAGCUGGGAUCGUAAUCAGCGGGUCGUUUCGAGUCUGAUGGUGCGUUCGGACUCCGGCGGUUGGAGGCGAGUCUACCGAGCGAUUAAGCGUCUCGGUGAUUGUUAGUCUUCACGCAAUUCUUAUAUAGCAACCCGACUCCUUCAUCAUCGGGUUGAUGUAAUUGGUUUUUAGUAUGCUUGACUUGUAAAAUUUUAGAUUCUUCGCAAUAGAAAUUUUAAACUUAUCAGUUGUAAUUUUAUGUAAAUUCGGGUCUUGCCUAAUUAUACAGGCAGACCGAAUUAAAUAUGUAGAAUUUGAUGGUUAAGGUUAAUUGUGAACCAUGCUUUGGAUU